ensembl:lincRNA
CUCCAGUUGGCAUGGUGCUUUUCUUCUUGUAACCAAGGUACACUGAGCAUCGUGGUGUCUGUGGGGUGGGGUAAUGAGGCAUAAAGGUCUGCUGUCUAGAGAGUCAGUCCAGCCCUAAUAGAGGGAGGACCCAAAGAGAAGAAGUGUCAUUUGGUGAAGAGAAAGGAACAGACUGCCCAGGGAGCCAAUUACCGGAGCCAGAAGAGGAUGCUCAGCCUAGCAGGGAGACCACAGUCAGGAUGGCAAGAGCCUGCGACAUUGUGGGGAGGUUGUUUGUGCCUCUAAGAUGCAAAGUGACCCAUGACCCAGCCCUGUCUUUUUAGGUGGCAAUUCUUGGCAAUAUUCUUUUCUAAAUACCUCUUGCAGCCAGCCCCUCCUCUCCAAGAUCUGCCUCAACACCUCUCAGCUGGGCUCUGCCUUGUACUUGCUCUGAUUGAAUUGAUUUUUCUCACUUCCAACCUCUCCUCCACAGAGUUGUCAGAAAGCCCUUUGUGGAACCACCUGGGAUUAGGAAGUGCCUCACCUGCAAGGGAGAGAGAGUUUACCUGA